GUCUACGGCCAUGCCACCCUGAACAAGCCUGAUCCCAUCUGAUCUCAGAAGCUAAGCAGGGUCGGGCCUGGUUAGUACUUGGAUGGGAGACCACCUAGGAAGACCAAGUGCUGUAGGCG
rnacentral:rRNA from 1 species